UUCUGUGGCCUUGUGCGGCUAAUCAGUCUCUACGGCAUCUGGACCAGACGGUUGCAUAGUUUAAAUCAACGGUGCCAGAGCCGCCUAGAAAGGGGACGGUAUGACAAGAAAACACAGUGACACAAUUAGUACAUAAUUCCAUGAAACUGGUAACAGCCUAGUGCAAGCAUGCAGUGUUCCUGUGGGCCCCGGUCUGCUCACUACGGGAAACUACACCUGUGUUAGGAGGAGCUGUGUCAGUGGUUUCAACCCUUUUCUGAUUUCUUUCGGGACUAGCACUGGAGCCUGCAGUGAGGCUCAAGAACCACGUGAAGAUCUGGAUUGUUACAAAUAUUAAUGGGAUCGUGGACAUGAAAGUCCAGAUGAUGGCUGUGAAGGUCGACGAUGUGCCAGUGGAGCAAGAAGAGUUUCCAGUCCAAAAUAAUUUUGAGUGCCUGGAAUCUCAUCAGCAGGAGAACAACAGCCCGUAGAUGCCAGGCUGAAACCCAACUUCAGUUGUCUGGUAACAGCCAAGUUAAGAAGCAGACUGGAUAUCAAGACUCAGCCCCUGGGCAUCUCCUUUUGAAUUUUAAAUCCUGAACCUGGAUACCACAAUUUUACAGUUCACCAUCACCAUUGUGGGAAAGAUGCACAGAGAAAAAAAGAAGAGUAAACCAGUCAAUUCGUUUUUAUACAAUCCUUCCAGCAAAAUAUGGUUAAUAUUUACUUUGCAGCAAAUAAGAGAAUAUAUGCAUGCAUGGUGCAGACAUCGAAACACUGGAGAGAGGCUGAAACCACUUCUAUAUAAGGGUUUGCUGUGCUGAGGGGAAGAUUGCUCUAGCUUGAAAGAGGUUGGAAAUAUCCCAUCUGAAAGCUCUUUUCAGUCUUGCCUCAGCCUAAACAUUUUACUCAGAGGGGUCAAAGGUCACCAACUGUCAAAACAAAACCAAAAUUACACAGCGCUCCUACAAGAAAGCUAAGCAGAGUGGAGGCUCGGAGUUCACAAACUGGACUCUUUAAUACAGCGUGUAACAAACAGUAAAACUGCCCUUUCAAAGUCACAGGUAUGCUAUCCUAAAUCCUGCUGAUUUUUACAAGUUACCCAGUCAGUUUAGAAGACUAGCCUUUUUGGUAUCAAUGUAGAGACUGAAUUCUAGAAGAGGGGAUGGGGGCCAGUCCAAACUUAGGACUGUCAAAGCCACCAGCCUGCAAACCCCAAAGCACCAGAUGGCGUUUUCGGGUUUCAUAAACCCAAAAAUAAAUCUUCCUUCAAAGUUUCCAAUUUCAUAAAGAGGUUAUUUUCCUUGUGGGACAGGGGACUGGGAGAAAUUUUUGCCAUUGGGUAUCUAACAGAAAAACCCUAAUAGCGUUUUAGACUUUCUUGUUCCUCAAGCUGGAGACAAGCUCAAAGCACAACCCAUCAUCUGCCAGUCAACUCACUGUGGAGACGAGACCCGGGCUUCUGUUGCGCAAGCUGGUUCCAUCAUGGCGUAACGAAGUCCUAGGGUCUUAAACAUUCCGGGACUCAGUUUAUCUGUUCGUUCUUUAGCGAAUUAUUCUUUGUAGAUCAUUCUUAUUUCUUAAUACAACAUAAAACAUUCAGCUUCUAAAUUAUAUUCAGUGUUGCUCAGAAAAAAGUAAUGGAGAAAUGACUUAUCUGAGGUUUACAUAAAUGGAGGUGACUUCAACAUUUUGUGAGCGAACUUUAUCCCAGAUAUCUUAAUAUAAUGACAAGUCUGAACUCCCCUCUCUCCCUACCCACCUAGUGAAAGAGAGACUGGACAGAAAUUGGAGGGGAGAAUGAAGAGCACCUAGUAGCCACAAUGUGGGUAACCAACACAUUUCAUUUAUGCAGAUCUGUGUGUGCACAUGUAACACGCUGUACAUUUGUGUACCAGCUCAGUUACAGUGGAAUUUCGUUUGAGCCAACUAGAAGAGUCUGCAAAAAUGAGGGGCUUUGAUUUGUUAUGACAAUUAGUGGGUGCGAACAGGGGAUCUACCCUAGGCAGAUACAUCUCUCCUAUAUUGCCUGGCAAAAGAAAUACCGAAUCGUAGCACCAUUUCAUGCUCUUAUAUCUAUCUCCUUCUCUGUAAGAUUCUUCAUUUCACAUUAGAAUAACUUCACCCUCCUUCCAGAUUCAUUCCUGUCUGGCCUAACCAAAUGAAUAUAUCAUCUCCCUGUGUGUCACAAGGUUCUCGGAAGGACCGAAUGAAAGAGAACAUGAAUAUGAAAGUGCCUUGCAAACGAUGAAGCUUUAUAAUAAUUCUGGUGAUGAAUAUUAGUUAAAGAGCAAAACAGACACACGAUAGAGUGAGUGGAAAAUACGACAUACAAAAAAUAUUGAAAUGCUUAAGAUCGCUUACCUUAAAAAAUUAUUAAAAAAUUUAAUCAUAGCAAUAACAUUUAAAAAACAACCAUUAAGUAUGUAAAGAAUUGUUAGAGUAAGUAGGUUCUCAGACUGUGGAAAGCAAGGGGAAAAAGAUAUGGGGUAAGUACAAGCUUCAAGGUACAUAUAAUAAGAAAUUCCACCAGUCUGGUUUGCCGAGCACAGGGGUGGAUGAGUCGUUAAAGGGGACUGUGGUCUGAUCUUCCCAGGAAUUCCAGAAGGGGCAGAAUGGCCGCUGUCUGAUGUGGUUCAUACUGCGUGACCAAGCAAAAGGAAUGAGAGCGAUUAGCUCACCCCAGUUGUAUUUGCCAGCUUCAAAUGGUCAAAGGGUUAUUAAAAAAAAAAAAAGCCUUUGUGAAGUCCUUAUCACUUUAUUAAAAAUAUUAUAAACAGACAUCAAAAAAUAAUACAGUUCCUACUAUUGGGAAAUUAUUUUAAAAUUCCAUCUACUUUGCUGACAAACAAUGGAAUUAUUUUAAAAAUAAAAUAUGCACUACACCAUAAAUAGGAAUCUUAACAGCAGCCAUUUCAGAUGAAACUUCUGUUUAUGAGAGUCUCCAAAGGGCUCAAAACUGCAUUACAGAGAUGACUGCAGUAACACAACAGCAAGGUUGUCUGUUUUCAUUCGCAGCUCCACAAAGCCUUUAGAACCUGACAUGUCCAGAAAAAAAAUGGUUCAGGCAAAUCAAAAAGUCUUAUCCUUUCAGUGACGGGUCAUCAUAAACACUGUCACGGUCCUGGAAGACAAGAGUUAAGGGCAUCUCUGUUAGGAGAUCGCUCAGCUACACCUCACAUAGAUGUGUAUGUAUGUACACAUGUAUAUUUUUAUUUACGUAUGUAUUUUUUCUGAGAAUGAAAGGAAAGUUAAAA